rnacentral:rRNA from 1 species
UAGAAGAAAGUAAUAAAGAGUACACGGGGGAUGCCUUGGCUCUCAGAGGCGAUGAAGGACGUGAUAAGCUGCGAUAAGCUUCGGGUAUUUGCAAAUAGGAACUGAUCCGAAGAUUUCCGAAUGGGGCAACCCGGCUAGUUGAAGACUAGUCACAUAUAAUGAGCAAACCUGCCGAACUGAAACAUCUAAGUAAGCAGAGGAAGAGAAAAUAACAAUGAUUUCCUAAGUAGUGGCGAGCGAAAGGGAAAGAGCCCAAACCUACUUUGUUACGGCAAAGUGGGGGUUGUAGGACUACGAUGUGGCAUUGGUAAACAGAAGUGGAACGGGAUGGGAAGCCCGGCGAGACAAGGUGAUAGCCCUGUACACGUAUAGAAUACCAGUCUAGUAGUAUCCUGAGUACCGCGAGGUCGGAGACGCCUUGUGGGAAUCUGCCGGCACCAUCCGGUAAGGCUAAAUACUCCUGAGAGACCGAUAGUGAACCAGUACCGUGAGGGAAAGGUGAAAAGAACCCCGAACAGGGGAGUGAAAUAGAACCUGAAACCGUGUACUUACAAGCGGUCGGAGCAUCCAAGUGGUGUGACGGCGUGCCUUUUGCAUAAUGAGCCUACGAGUUACUCCUCUCUGGCAAGGUUAAGUGCUUCAGGCACGGAUCCGAAGCGAAAGCGAGUCUGAACAGGGCGUAUAGUCAGAGGGGGUAGACGCGAAACCUUGUGAUCUACCCAUGGACAGGUUGAAGGUGCGGUAACACGUACUGGAGGACCGAACCGAUAAACGUUGAAAAGUUUCCGGAUGAUCUGUGGGUAGGGGUGAAAGGCUAAUCAAACUGGGAAAUAGCUCGUACUCCCCGAAAUGUUUUUAGGAACAGCGUGGAUAUUAAGUUUCAUAGAGGUAGAGCUACUGAUUGGGUGCGGGGGAGUCAAAUCCUACCAAAUCCAGACAAACUCCGAAUGCUAUGAAAUAUGAUCUGCAGUGAGGCGCGGGGUGCUAAGGUCACGCGCCGAGAGGGAAAGAACCCAGACCAUCAGCUAAGGUCCCCAAGUGACAGUUAAGUUGAACUAACGAGGUCCGAUUGCACAGACAGCUAGGAUGUUGGCUUGGAAGCAGCCAUUCAUUUAAAGAGUGCGUAACAGCUCACUAGUCGAGCGAUCGGGCAUGGAUAAUAAACGGGCAUUAAACUGUUCACCGAAGCUAUGGGAUUGAAAUAUAUCGGUAGGGGAGCAUUCUAUAUGCAGCGAAGGUAUCUGGUAAUGGGUGCUGGAGCGUAUAGAAAAGCAAAUGUAGGCAUAAGUAACGAUAAGGCGGGAGAGAAACCCGCCCACCGAAAGGAUAAGGUUUCCUGAUCAACGCUAAUCGGAUCAGGGUCAGUCGGGACCUAAGGAGAACCCGAAGGGGAAAUUCGAUGGACAACUGGUUAAUAUUCCAGUACUUUUUAUAACUGCGAUGUGGGGACGGAGUAGUGACACUGCCGCGAUCUGACGGAAUAGAUCGUUAAAGUUCCAAGAAAAACCGCUAAGCUUCAGGUUAUAAAAACCCGUACCGCAAACCGACACAGGUAUCCGGGAAGAGGAUUCUAAGGUGCUCGAGUGAAUCAUGGCUAAGGAACUCGGCAAAAUGGCCCUGUAACUUCGGGAGAAGGGGCGCUUGCAGCAAUGUAAGCCGCAGUGAAAAGGCCCAGGCGACUGUUUAACAAAAACACAUGGCUUUGCAAAAUCGAAAGAUGAGGUAUAAGGCCUGACACCUGCCCGGUGCUGGAAGGUUAAGAGGGGAUGUCAUCGUAAGAGAAGCAUUGAAUCGAAGCCCCAGUAAACGGCGGCCGUAACUAUAACGGUCCUAAGGUAGCGAAAUUCCUUGUCGGGUAAGUUCCGACCUGCACGAAUGGUGUAACGAUCUGGGCGCUGUCUCAGCCAUGAGCUCGGUGAAAUUGUGGUCCCGGUGAAGACGCCGGGUACCCGCAACGGGACGGAAAGACCCCAUGCACCUUCACUACAAUUUAACAUUGACAUUGGAUACAGGAUGUGUAGGAUAGGUGGGAGGCUUUGAAGCGGCGUCGCUAGGCGUCGUGGAGCCAACGUUGAAAUACCACCCUUUCUGUAUUCGGUGUCUAAUCCCGAUCAUKCGGGAGACAUUGUUUGAUGGGUAGUUUGACUGGGGUGGUCGCCUCCAAAAAGGUAACGGAGGCUUUCAAAGGUAAGCUCAGUACGCUUGGUAACCGUACGSGGAGUGCAAUAGCAUAAGCUUGCUUGACUGUGAGACAGACAAGUCGAUCAGGGUCGAAAGACGGAUAUAGUGAUCCGGUGGUUCUGCAUGGAAGGGCCAUCGCUCAAAGGAUAAAAGGUACGCUGGGGAUAACAGGCUGAUCUCCCCCAAGAGCUCAUAUCGACGGGGAGGUUUGGCACCUCGAUGUCGGCUCGUCACAUCCUGGGGCUGGAGAAGGUCCCAAGGGUUCGGCUGUUCGCCGAUUAAAGUGGCACGCGAGCUGGGUUCAGAACGUCGCGAGACAGUUCGGUCCCUAUCUGUUGUGGGCGUAGGAAUUUUGAGUGGGGCUGACCUUAGUACGAGAGGACCGGGUUGGACCAGCCUCUAGUGAAUCUGUUGUUCCGCCAGGGGCAUUGCAGAGUAGCUACGCUGGGAAUAGAUAAGCGCUGAAAGCAUCUAAGUGCGAAACUAGCCACGAGAUGAGAAUUCCAUAUAGGACCGUAGAAGACUACUACGUUGAUAGGCUACAGAUGUAAAGCUGGUGACAGCACAGUCGAGUAGUACUAAUCAUCCGAAGCUUUCAAA